rnacentral:lncRNA from 1 species
CCCACCUCAUUCUACGUACCUAUACAAGCUCAAUUCCUCUCUCAGGUCUCCCUCUCACUUGCUCACUCCAUAUUCAUCCUGGCUGUGUCAGCUCCAGAACACAAUUCUACUAUCCACUGCACCCUCUCCCGAUCCUUACACCAUCCUCCCAAAUUUUCCAAUCUUUUGUCAUCUAACUUCCAAAUCCGAUGUCAUAAUUUCUACUUCCAUCCCACACCUAAUUCUGGAAGUCUCACGUUCGUACUAACAUUCUGUUCACCACCCGAAUAUUUUCUCUUAAAAAUUUAUCUCCAUUUCAUUCGGAACUCACCCAGUUCCCCUUUUUUUUCUUUGAUUUCUUCCUUGCUUAACGGAUCUGUUGCCUCGAUCAGGGAAAGUCUCUAGACCUCCGUUAGAAUCCAAUUAUCAGUGAUCCUAUUGACUUUGCUCGUUUUAACUAUCUACCACACUAACAGAUCACUACGAAUUUACCCCAUCUCUCCAGGGUUUGCAGCAAUAACUGUCUCAUUCCACUGAUUUACAAAACUUCGAUGCCCAAGAAUAUUCUACACCGUCAACAUCGCUUCGCAUACAAUGCACAUAAGGAAAAUCGCAAGUAAUCCGCAAAUCAGGGAUAUAGGAAAUUUCUUUAUACUAUUUCGAAUUCGGGUUUCAAGAGCAAAUUGAUCUUACCUUCCGUUGGACGAUUCAGCUAUCUUUCAGCCUAGCCUUCACGGUUAUCACCCUCCUAUUUCUUCUUCCGUCGGCCACGCUUCGCAGUUUUGUUUUCCUCUCUACUCUUCCUCUCUGCCACUCUCUCCUUCCGCCGACGGCUUCCUCUCCCUCUCUCUCUCUCUCUCUCUCUCUCUUCGAGCUUCUUCCUUUCUUUCUAUUUUUCGUGAUCACCUUUCUUAUUUAUAGCAAUCUAAAUUAAAUCUGGGCCGUCGAAUUUGAAGAAGAAAUCCUCACCGUAAAAUUAUUUUUAUUUCAUCAAAACGGCGUCGGUUUGUGGUUUCUCAAAACGACUUCGUUUUUGCGCUU